rnacentral:rRNA from 1 species
AGAGUUUGAUCCUGGCUCAGGAUGAACGCUGGCGGCGUGCCUAAUACAUGCAAGUCGAACGCGCAGCGAAAGGUGCUUGCACCUUUCAAGCGAGUGGCGAACGGGUGAGUAACACGUGGAUAACCUGCCUCAAGGCUGGGGAUAACAUUUGGAAACAGAUGCUAAUACCGAAUAAAACUUAGUAUCGCAUGAUACAAAGUUGAAAGGCGCUACGGCGUCACCUAGAGAUGGGUCCGCGGUGCAUUAGUUAGUUGGUGGGGUAAAGGCCUACCAAGACAAUGAUGCAUAGCCGAGUUGAGAGACUGAUCGGCCACAUUGGGACUGAGACACGGCCCAAACUCCUACGGGAGGCUGCAGUAGGGAAUCUUCCACAAUGGGCGCAAGCCUGAUGGAGCAACGCCGCGUGUGUGAUGAAGGCUUUCGGGUCGUAAAGCACUGUUGUAUGGGAAGAAAUGCUAGAAUAGGGAAUGAUUCUAGUUCGACGGUACCAUACCAGAAAGGGACGGCUAAAUACGUGCCAGCAGCCGCGGUAAUACGUAUGUCCCGAGCGUUAUCCGGAUUUAUUGGGCGUAAAGCGAGCGCAGACGGUUGAUUAAGUCUGAUGUGAAAGCCCGGAGCUCAACUCCGGAAUGGCAUUGGAAACUGGUUAACUUGAGUGUUGUAGAGGUAAGUGGAACUCCAUGUGUAGCGGUGGAAUGCGUAGAUAUAUGGAAGAACACCAGUGGCGAAGGCGGCUUACUGGACAACAACUGACGUUGAGGCUCGAAAGUGUGGGUAGCAAACAGGAUUAGAUACCCUGGUAGUCCACACUGUAAACGAUGAUUACUAGGUGUUGGAGGAUUGACCCCUUCAGUGCCGCAGUU